rnacentral:rRNA from 1 species
UACAGAGGUCCCGAGCGUUGUUCGGAUUCACUGGGCGUAAAGGGUGCGUAGGUGGCCUGAAAAGUUUGAUGUGAAAGCUCAGGGCUUAACCCUGAAAUGGCAUUGAAUACUGUCGGGCUGGAGGUUUGGAGGGGGGACUGGAAUUCUUGGUGUAGCAGUGAAAUGCGUAGAUAUCAAGAGGAACACCAGUGGCGAAGGCGAGUUCCUGGACAACACCUGACACUGAGGCACGAAAGCUAGGGGAGCAAACAGG